ensembl:lncRNA
AGACUUGACACCGAGACACUUAACAUUUAGCAGCAUGAAGCAGUUGUUGUCUCGGAGAAAGAUUUACUUUAUGAUGGCCUAUGUGCAUCUUUCUAUAGGGCCUUCUGUAUAAAGAAGGAGCUGACAGUAAAAGCACCAACUUUUCAAACGCUAAAUGACUGUGAAACAGGAAUCUAUGUGACUUUUGUGUACAAUCGUUACACCAUCAGUCUCUGUGUUAGUAUCACAGGCACUGCUGUCUUCAUUCGAUCUUACAUGAUUGCUCUGGACACCUGUUACAAACUGAACCGUCCCGCUCUGUAUAUCUGCUUUCCGACUCCAGCCUAGUACAGAUGUUUAAAUGUUUCACCAGCCCCGCCCAGCCUGUGCCCAGCCAAAUCCAUUUCAUCCUCUCUGCAAGCUCAGUUACAGACAGAUAGAUCCUUUCGUCCCCCAGAGAGGUGCCCUGCGCUUCAGUGUAACAGCGUGACAGACAAAAGCUUGGGGGGGAUGCCCGUGGCCAGCCCCCAGCCUCAUCUCCUAUCCAUAAUUUUGCCUGCCUCUGCCAUUGCAGAUUACCUCCAUGGAAAUCAGUGGUGCUUGGCUGUGCUGGUGAGCUGCUGGCAGCAAUGGUACCAGCAUAUGUAAUGACACUGUCUGUCUCACAGUGACAGAAGAAGAUAAACAUUGUCGCCUCUGCAGCCACAUGUGUGACAAACAUGCCGCUAUAUCACCCUUUUUUUUCCCUUUUCUUUUUUUUCAUGUCUGGGGAAUCAUGAAGUUGGAGGUGAAAGAUUAUCGUGCUUCCAUAUAGAAGAAAACUUGACUCCACCAUACGUGGACGUAAUCCGCUCUUCUAAAGAGAAAAGGGCUUAGUGCAGAUGAAAGGAUUCCGAACGCGGGAUUUUAAAAGGGCUAUUAAUGCCACCUUAUGCACAGAAAUGCACACAGGCACACACGGCCACGCGCACACACACAAAAAAGAAUUUUAGUUUUUUUACACUUUAGAUUUGACUUCACGUGUCGCAGCAAGUGUCUACAACAUUUCUGGAACUAUUUGUCCUCCAGCUUCUCCUCGUCUUUGUCUUAUUUUUCCCCAUUCCUGCUCCUACUGCCUUCAUCUCCUCAUUGUUUCCUUCUCAUCCUUAAUUACUUCUCCCUCCUCAAUCCCAUUGCCUCCUUCUUCUUCUCCUUGUCCUGCUUUGUCCUCUUUUACAGUAGCUUGUCCUCCACCCUCUUCUACUCAUUUGCUUUUUCCUGCCCAUCAAUCAUCCAUCAUUUUGCCCUUUUCACUUUCUUUUCCCUCUCAUCUUUUGUUUUCUUUAUCCUCUUUUCACUUACUGUUAUUUUUUGCUCUCUCUAUAGCUUCUUCACUUCCUCCUCCUCAUCUCCUUGUUUCCUUCUGUUCUUGUUAGUUUUGUCCCUUUUUUUUUACAUUACUUCCUGUCCUUUUCUAGUUAUAUUUUCCCCCUUUUUCUUUUUCUUAUUGAAUGGGGAAAAGGUGCAUUUUUUUUUUGUGGUUCACAGCAAUUAUUGAAAAUAAUGCAGAUUUAAAAAAAACAAAAAACAUUUUUGUUAAUGAGAGGAUCUGCUGUCAGCAGAUUCUUCCUAUGUCUCCAUCACUAUGCUAACAAUUAAACGUGACAGUAUCAUGUAAUAAAUACCAGCAGACACAGUUUACCUCAAAUAAUAUUAAAGUGUCAGUCAGGUUUAUGUAGCAAUAACAGAUAAACUAACGGUGAAACCUAUACUAUCAUAAUGCAGGAAUGCUGAUUAAAUAACCACCCAGUGACACUUCCUACAGUCUGUUUGCUCAUUUAUUUUUAGAGGUCCCUGCAGUGUUGAACACACUGAAGCAAUAAUCCUG